ACCUGCCCAGUGAUUUUAAACGCCCGGUACUCUGACCGUGCAAAGGUAGCAUAAUCAUUUGCCUUAUAAUUGAAGGCUGAUGAAUGGUUUGACGAGAAUACACCUGUCUCUUUUUGAUUUUAUAGAACUUUAUUUCUGGAUGAAAAAGUCCAGAUAACAUUAAUAGACAAGAAGACCCUAUCGAGCUUUAGAAAAAUUAACGGAGUUGACAUCAAUCUAUAGAAAUAAAAGAAGGGCUGUUAAAUACUUUGGUUGGGGCAACCGAGGAGCAAAAAUAGCCUCCUCUAAAAUGUAAGUCGUACUUGUGUUGAUCCAAAAGUUUUGAUCAAAGGAAUUAGUUACCGUAGGGAUAACAGCAUUAUCUUUUUUGAGAGCUCAUAUCGAAAAAAAGGUUUGUGACCUCGAUGUUGGACCAGAAUGUCCUAAAGAUGCAGAAGUCUUUAA
rnacentral:rRNA from 1 species